rnacentral:lncRNA from 1 species
AGCCUACUAAAUUGAUCUUAUACAUAAAUCCCUAUUCCUUUAGAAUCCAAAAUUCGUAAUGUUCAAAUACCGUUCUUUUGAAAACAAUUCAUAAAACCCAAUCAUGCAUUCAUAAUGGUAUCAUCAACCAUUAUAUUCAUAUAUAGAUUAACAAAUGAUUCUUAGUAUUUCACACCAAGUAUUCAUAUACACAUGAUUAAACCUUGACUAUCAGCGGAGUGACUCUAGGCAUGAUUGAUAACACUUAGUGUCACAUUAAACCUACCGAGCAAUGUAUAGGGAGGAGCACCUCGUCCUAGGAUCCAACCACCUUUAACU